AACAUCAAAGAAGCGCCAGAACUCAAGUGAUUGUCCACACUGAGAUUGAGUUGACGAGGACAGGGAGUAUCGAAAAUUCGGCGGAUGCCCUGAAGAAUUGCGGCAAAAAACUGAAAAGUGAUUUUCAGGACAAAGGCGGCAUAAAGUUAUAG
rnacentral:ncRNA from 2 species